rnacentral:rRNA from 1 species
CACGUAGGCGGAUCGUUAAGUCAGGGGUGAAAUCCUGGAGCUCAACUCCAGAACUGCCUUUGAUACUGGCGACCUUGAGUUCGGGAGAGGUGAGUGGAACUGCGAGUGUAGAGGUGAAAUUCGUAGAUAUUCGCAAGAACACCAGUGGCGAAGGCGGCUCACUGGCCCGAUACUGACGCUGAGGUGCGAAAGCGUGGGGAGCAAACA